GUGGGGAAUCUUCCGCAAUGGACGAAAGUCUGACGGAGCAACGCCGCGUGAGUGAAGAAGGUUUUCGGAUCGUAAAGCUCUUUCGUUAGGGACGAACGUGCUCUUUGUGAAUAAUGAGGAGUAAUGACGGUACCUAAAUAAGAAGCCACGGCUAACUACGUGCCAGCAGCCGCGGUAAUACGUAGGUGGCAAGCGUUGUCCGGAAUUAUUGGGCGUAAAGCGCGCGCAGGCGGGAUAUCAAGUCUGUCUUAAAAGUGCGAGGCUCAACCUCGUGAGGGGACAGAAACUGGUAUUCUUGAGUGUCGGAGAGGAAAGUGGAAUUCCAAGUGUAGCGGUGAAAUGCGUAGAGAUUUGGAAGAACACCAGUGGCGAAGGCGACUUUCUGGACUGUACCUGACGCUGAGGCGCGAAAGCGUGGGGAGCGAACAGGAUUAGAUACCCGGGUAGUCC
rnacentral:rRNA from 1 species